UCUGCACCUCUCCGUCUCCGCUCGAUCUCUACCUCUCUCUCUCUCUGCCUCUCCCUCUCCGGGCCCACAUUCCAGGAUUCAUCUACUGUAAGUGAUGGUGAUCCGCUCGAUCUACCUCUUUCUCUCUCCCUCCCUCCCUCUCGAAUCUCGAAUCCUCCCCUCUCCCUCUCCGCUCUCGAUCUCUUUCUAUGGUUCUUGUUCUUCUUUUCUUUGGUCCAACACAUCAAGGAGCAUUGUGCAAUAUCAGGAUUUGUAUUGCAACAGUCACAUGGACGACCAUUAUGUCAGCCAUUACCAUUACCGAAUGCCUUGGGAAUCACUGAUGAUAGACUUUGAUGUCGCCUCCUGUUGAAAUUGUUGAAUUGAUCAAGUAAUCAAUAUGAGAGAAGCUAGGUCAUGAUCAUGGUGGCUGGAUAUGUGAAUGAUGCUUGAACAUGCUGGAUUUUCAUCACCGUCUUGAUUGACAAAUUGAUCACCUUGAGUUUGUUUUAACCCUAUGUUAAAUGCACGCAACCUAUUACAAUUAUUUUCAGGGUAGAUCUCGCAAGCAAACUCUGUGCAUUUCCAAAUAUUCUUGGUCUGCUAUGAUAUCAGCUAGAAAAUCGGAAGGCUUGGUCAUUGAUUUUGUAGUAGCUGUGACUUUCUUUGGGUGAUAAGUUCAUCGUUUCUAUGGUACAUUUCAGUACUUCUGUAGAUAGAUUUUAAAUAGAGGUUUCUAAGUGUGAAUUGUCUGUUGGACAGAAACAGGUACAACUGGCCCAUGUUUGUUCAUUUCAGUUUUGUUUUGGUUUGGUGACUUGUUUUGUUUCGGACUGAAGUGAUACAACUUAGACAAUUCUAAGCCUUUUUGGCAAUUUUUAAACCAUGAUUGGGAAUGGUAUAAAUGUGCCAUGGCAUCCAGCACAUUAUAUGAAUUUUAACCAAAAGAAGCAAAAAAAAUCCUGUCUUUCUAACCGAGCAAUGUGGGAGCUUGUAAGAGUCAAGCAGUGUGAUACAAGACAUUCCUGGAUGGCAUGGACGGCUAACGAGCUGUAAUACAAAUUCAUGUGUGAUAAAUCAUGCAUAGACUGCACUUUUCUAGUAAAAUAUGUGGAAUUUAUCAACUUUUUUGAGACAUUCAUGUGUAACUUUGUCCGGUGGACAGAUCUCAGAGAUUUAGAUCUUUGAACCAGUUUGUUUACCUUAAGACAGAUUAGAGCUGCCACUGGCAGCUUUCACAUUUCAAACAAGCUUGGGGAAGGUGGUUUUGGUUCUGUUUACAAGGGUCUAUUAUCAGACAGUACUUCAAUUGCAGUGAAACAAAUUUCAUCCAAAUCAAAGCAAGGAAGCCGUGAAUUUGUGACUGAAAUAGGCAUGAUAUCUACUUUGCAACACCCAAAUCUUGUAAAACUUUAUGGAUGAUGUAUCGAGGGAGAUCAACUAUUGCUAGUUUAUGAGUACAUGGAAAAUAAUAGCCUUGCCCGUGCUCUGUUUGGCCCAGAAGAAUAUCAAUUGCAGCUUGAUUGGCCAACUAGGCACAAGAUUUGUGUUGGUAUAGCAAGAGGUCUAGCUUAUCUCCAUGAAGAAUCGACGCUGAAAAUUGUUCAUAGAGACAUCAAAGCCACCAAUGUACUGCUCGAUCGGGAUCUUAUACCAAAGAUAUCUGACUUUGGUCUGGCAAGGCUUGGUGAAGAGGAGAAAACCCACAUCAGCACUCAUGUAGUUGGA